AUUAAGCAUAUCAGUAAGCGGAGGAAAAGAAACUAACCAGGAUUCUCCUAGUAACGGCGAGUGAACGGAGAUUAGCCCAUCACCGAAGUCUAUUCGCGUUUGCGGACAGGACAAUGUGGUGUUCGGGCAUGCGCCUUGGCAUCAUUGACCAGUCGUAAGUCCAACUCCGAUUGCGGCUUUGGAUGUUGUCCAUAGCGGGUGAAAGACCCGUUCUGGCUGGUUUUGUUGUAUGUAUAAAUGAUGCCCAGAUGCGUGUGCUUUCGAGUCGGAUUGCUUGAGAAUGCAGUCCAAAGCGGGUGGUAAACUCCAUCCAAGGCUAAAUACUGGCACGAGUCCGAUAGUAGACAAGUACCGUGAGGGAAAGUUGAAAAGUACUCUGAAGAGAGAGUAAAUAGUACGUGAAACCGCUUGCAGAGAAUCGGGUGGAGUCAAGCUUCAUGCUUGGAAGAUUGUGGUCCGAUCAUUGUUGUGAAAGGAUAUGGGGCCUGGCAACUUGGAAUAAGUUGGGCGCACUCGUUGCGUUUCAAGUCUUUCCGGGGAGCUUGUUUGUCCGAACCCCUAUCUCCUAGAUUGGACCGCGGAUUUUCCUGUGCAUAAAUCAAGGCUCCUAGUGCUGAAUAUCAUGAUGUUCUAACAGUCUGCGAGUCAACGUAUGUUGGCUUGUUGUUGAAUGGAAGGUGUUUCCAGUAGCGUUUAUCGUUACUGGGACUUAUUGUGGUCUCGACCGUCUGAACAUCAUGAAUUGUAUUUCUGCACUAGGGGGCGGUAUGUGUUCAGUGAGUUACCUAUAUGGUUGCUUGCUUAUUAACCACCUUGAUUCUGAGGUAGACGUUCCACCUGACCCGUCUUGAA
rnacentral:rRNA from 1 species